UUUUUCAUCAUUAACAACUUUGAAGUUCGAAGAGAUGUUAACAUGGAGGGAUUGGUCUCCUUAUGUCGAGGGCCCAGAAGAAGAAGUUUCAUUCUCCUGUCUUAUGCAUCUUGUUGUCCGAGGCUGUCCUCUGCUGGUCGGGACAUUACCUUAUCGACUUGAUCAUCUCAUAAAGCUUGAAAUUUGUUCAUGUCCGCAUUUGAAUAACUCAACCAAUGAUGUUUCUCUUCCAUCUCUCCGUGAGUUAUACCUUGAGGUUUGUGACAAGGAGAUAUUGAAGUGUUUGGUCAACCUAACUUCUUUGACCAUUCUAAGAAUUGAGAAUAUUUCAGAGCUUGUCUACUUUGAUCAUGGGUUUAUGAGCUACUUGAUCAAGCUAAAGGAGCUUCGUAUAAGAGGGUGUGACCAAUUAAAAUACUUGUGGCAAGAUGGAAAUGAAAUGCUAAAUCUCACUUGUCUCCAGGAAUUAACCAUCAAAGAUUGUCCUCAGUUCACAUCAUUCGUGCCAAGAGAAAGAGAAAUAGAGCUGCCGUGCAACCUUGAAAAGAUGGGAUUGAGUAAUUGCACCAAUUUUGAAAAGCUUCCGAGCAAGAUGUACACACUCAGUUAUUUGUCUAUUUAUGGGUGUCCAAAACUCAUAAGACCAACCAUUUCUUCGUAUGACCCCAACAGCAACAACCCGAUGUCUCAACUUCAAUCUUCAUGUACAAUUAAAUGUGAUUCUCUAACAUAUUUCCCCUUAGCCAAAGGUAGACUUGCUACUUUGAAGGAAUUUUAUAUUCAAGACUGCAAGGGAGUGGAGUCGUUGGAAGAGAUCAUCGUAGAAUCGCUCAAAUGUAUGAGUAUUCGCAAUUGUGAGAAUCUAAGAAGCCUACCACAAUGCCUUCACACGCUCUCCCAUCUCACUAGCUUGUGUAUAAGUGACUGUCCAGCACUGGAGAUAGAGGACCCUCCUGCCCUUCCCCUCACCCUAUCAGUUCUCAUGCUUGAGAGAUGUUUAAAGAUAAAAUCUAUUGCCAGCUUUGGUAAUCUCACUAUUUUGGAAAUAAGGGAGUGUCCAGCAUUGGAGAUGGAGAAUUUCCCUCCCCUACCCAUAACCUUGUCUUAUCUUACACUUGAGGAAUGUCCAAAGCUAAAGUCUCUGCCAAAUCGCUGGCGUCAUCUUACAUCCCUCUUGUGCAUAUGUAUUGCACGUUGCCAAAAUAUCAAAUGCUUGCCCGAAGGAGGUUUGCCUCCCAAUUUAGAGACCCUCGUUAUUUAUGGGUGCGAGAAUCUGGAGCCAGAGCCAGUUAGAGAAUGGGGCUUUCACCGGCUCACGUCCCUCACGUUUCUAAAUAUUGACGGAAGAAUCAUGGAAGGGGAGGGAGAGAAGGCGCGGUUUCCUUCGGGGGACGAGGACGAGGAGGAUGCGUGGCGUCUUCUCUAUCCUUCCUCUCUAACAGAUCUUCAUAUAACAAAUAUGAGGAACGUGGAAAGAUUAUCACGCGGUCUUCGGAACCAUCUCUCCUCUCUCCAACAGUUAUGGAUUAGAGAUUGCCCGAAGUUGAGGGACUUGCCAGAGGAUGGCCUCCCUCCCUCCCUCCAUUAUCUGCAGAUAAUAGGAUGCGAGAAUCUGAAAGAUCGAUGCUCAAAACACACCGGCGACUAUUGGCCCCUCAUCCAAGGGAUCCGUUCCAUCUUCAUUGAUGGCUCUUCGAUCCAAUAAAUUGAUUUAUGUACAUGAACAAACAUAUGAUUGUGGAAACUCCAAAUAUAUGAGGAUAUUCUCCAAACAUUACGAGACAAGUACUUGUGGACGAAAUGUAUUUUAUAUCGAUUCCUCUAACCACUGAUGUGCAUUCUUGAAAGUCUUGGUCUUUGUUUAUUGUUUUUGGUAGGUGAAAGACUUGGUCUUCCUGCCUUUAUAGUUUUCUCUCUCCCUUAUCUCUUUAUCACUUAGAUUCACCAUCACCCAUGCCUGUCCCCGUGCUCAACAGUGUUCUCCUCCUGCUCGUCUGAACCUAGUGGUCUUGCUUGCUGGAUUGCUGUCAUUGAUCUCAUCCCAUUCACCGGUUUGCUCCAGGAAGUCUACUCGGAAAAGGUAAGAGACAUCUAUCUUCUUGCUAUGUUUUUCCCUCAAACUGAUGCAGACGCAACUUUGCUACCUAAAGCAUCUGGUGGGCAUUUAUUACCCGAGAGCAACCACCUAUUCUUUCUUAAAUCUUUCUAUUAGUGGAGGCAAAGAAGAGGCAACAGCAGCAACAAAAGUUUGGUUCUUAAACCGAUUUCAUGCCUAUCUAUGAUCCUGAUUAAAGUUGAUGUCAAAUACUUGAUGUCGAGUUUAAUAACAAAAAACUAUUACUUCAAUUUUUGUUAGAUAGUAAUAUUAGGACAUUAAGAUUAAUUUUUAAUCUCUCCAUCAUUGAUCUCUUUACUAAACACACACUGACGUGAAAUAAUUUUGCUAAGUACAAGUUUGGGAUUUUACAUGAAACAAUCAUAUAUCGGUUUGGAAUUUUAGUCCAUAUUGGCUAAACAACAAUAAAUAUUGGAAGAGGAUAGCUUCAUUCCUCUUAGAAGAGAUUCCUGGGAAAUUCACAUUUGCUACAGUUCUGCGGUGCCAAAAAAAUAAAUAAUUUUUGUUGUGUCUUUUCACAUGUUCACUCCUAUGGUAGAUUUACCAUCAACGGAAGGGAGUAAGGUGAAUUAAUAAGGUGUUUGCGAUUUAGUAUUCUUUUAAAGUGUGCCAGUGUAAUCAAUCGAGUUAAGUCAAUUCAAUCGCAAAUUCAACUUCACAUGAAGUAGUCUAUGCCGAAGCCCUAAGGGUGUUGCAUGUGGACGACUUGUUUUCAUUGUGCGAAAACCGAUGAUAGUUCAGUGUUGGAAAACUUAUUCAUGUUUUUUCUUUCAAGAUAGAGAAAAAUGUGAAGGUGUUCACAAUAAAAAAUUAAAUUUUGAAUUAUGGAAAUCAAAAUUGUGCUUUGUUAGAAAAAGACCAUGUGAAGACUUAGUGUUUUGUUAGAGAAAAAGGUAUUCCUACGUCAGAAUAGUUUCUGAGAUUGUUCCAUCUUUUAUAAUGCGCAUUAAUUUGGUAUUAAACAGAAUUCACAUAUUUUUCAACCCUAAAAAGCCCAACUUGUCAUUUUAUAUUGUACACUCCUAAAAGUGAGUAACUUUCUUAUAUUUGUUGAGUCCCCCUUUUAAGUUCUAAUUCAUGCUAAAGAAUCUUUAGUCGGUCAUUUUUAAUUUUAAUUUUUGAAGGCGUCAACAAAAUUAUGAUAUAUAAUCAAUUGGUGGGGCUGUGAAGCCAAGAGCACAUCACUCCAUGGAUUUAAUCUCUCUCUCUCUCUCUCUCUCUCUCUCUCUCUCUCUCUCUCUCUCUCUCUCUCUCUCUCUCUCUCUCUCUCUCUAUAUAUAUAUAUAUAUAUAUAAUCUAUUUUCCCUUUGAGCCCGAGAGAGAGGGGACCAAUAAUGCAUGUAAUCGGCGAAUUAAGGGUUUAGUACAUGUNNNNNNNNNNNNNNNNNNNNNNNNNNNNNNNNNNNNNNNNNNNNNNNNNNNNNNNNNNNNNNNNNNNNNNNNNNNNNNNNNNNNNNNNNNNNNNNNNNNNUAUAUGGGACCGAUCUUUGGUCCCUAUCGGUGAACAUGAUCCAAUAAUUGUUUUAGUAUAUACAUAGCCUCCAUGAUACCUUAGAUACUUGGGUAAACUAAGGUUAUGCCAAGCACUAAUGACAAAAAUUAUCCAAUCUAUCCAAUCGUGAAAUUUGGUUGGACUCUAAAAAUUUCUCUCCAUCAUUCUUAAGUCCAGCCGAUAUGGGUCUCUACUCUUUAACGUGUAAAAUGCAAGAACAUAAAAACUUCAAAUACUUUAACUACUUUGAUAGAACAAGAGGAAUGUAAUGGAAAAUCCAUAUAGGAUUAGAAGUCAGAUACAGAUCUUAAUAUCCAGGCCUGCACUGCCAUUCCUAUGAUAAGAGAGGUGAAAUGCGAGCAAUAAGCAAGCGAUUACAGCCACGUCCAGGAAGGAUCAUUCAACCAUCCCGCACCUCCUAAAAUUAAGGAAUCUCGAGUUACCAAAGCAAGUAUAAAUAGCUUGGAAAUAACCAUUUGAUAGUUAAAACUUGUCGAUAUCUAAAUUUUGCUCUAAGGUCGUUUUCAUAUAUUUUUGGAAAAAAUGGAAUCAGUUUUCCUCCAUUUUUUUUUAUUGCAAUUAAAGGUAAAGCAGUUUAUAAGCAUAUACUGGAAUUUUGACAAACGGCGUUAGGUUCCUUCGAAUUUAUUUUUCAAAGGAAAAAAGAGUAAAAUAAAAGGAAAAGAAAAAUGGGAACCUCUAAGAAAAAAACACACACGGCAGAAUCCGUCUUGGUUCUCCUUCUCUUUUCCUUAAAGCCACACCGCCCCACUUUUUCUUCAACCACCAUCAUCAUCAGCAUCAAACUCACGCCCGCAGUCUCCAUUUUCAUCCAGGUCACUUAUUGCAGUCGUGUUGAUUGUCGCCAAUCACCACCAUCUCCGAUCCGUUCAAUCCCCUACAAACCUCUUCUAGUCGGAGCUCCACCGAUAUUGUCAUUCGUCAUUGCAAGCGCUGGCCACGCAUUGCCGUAGCUGAAUUCACACGCUGUCGCCGUGAACCGUCGAACAGUGUUCUCUUCCUCCUCAUCCAAACCUAGCGCUCCUGCUCACGGGAUUGCUGUCGUUGAUCUGAACCCCAUUCACCUGGUCUGCUCCAGGAAGUCUGCACGGAAUAGGUAAGAGACAUCUAUCUACUUGCUCUCUUUUUCCCUCAAACUGAUGCAACAGCAACAAUCUUUUGGUUCUUAAAUCGAUUUCAUGCUUAUCUAUAAUCGGACUAAAGUUGAUGUCAAAUACUUGAUGAUAAAAAGUUUAAUAACAAAAAAAUUGUUAUUUUAGAUUUUGUUAGAUAGUAAUAUUGGGACAUCAUGAAUCUCUCUUCCAUUGUUCCUUUUACUAAACACAACUGACGUGAAAUGAUUUACACGAUCAGUACUCCCAAGAUCGAAGUAUUCAUAAUGGAAUCGGUAAUUUUAUCCUGAUCGCUGAGUGAUUAUUUUACACCGUCAAACGCAUGGGAAUUUCAAUCUAUGAAAUUGGGUUUUGCAACAAUGGAUAUUGUAUAAGAAGAUAGCUUCAAUCCUCUUAAGCAAAAAUUCACGGGACGUUUGCCAUAAUUUUGCCUUGCCAAACAAAACAAAUAUCUUUUGUCGUGUCUUUUACAUAUCCAGUUUUAUAAUAAAAAGUCAUUGUCAUAUAGAUAUAGUGGAUUUACCAUCAACCAAAGCAGGGCAGAUGAUUUGAUAAGGUGUUUGAAAUUUAGUAUUCUUUUAAGGUGUACCGAUGUAAUCAAUCAAGUCAAGUGAAUAGGGUCGCAAUCCAAACUUCGUGUGAAGUAGUUCCUUCCGAAGCCCCAAGGGUGUUGCGUGUGGAUGGCCUGUUUUCGUUGUGCGAAAACUGAUGAUAGUUCAGCGCAGAAAAACUAAUCCAUAUAUUUUCAUUCAAGACAGAAAAAUGUGUAGCUAUUCGCAACAAAUAAUUAAAUUUUGAAUUACAAAAAUCAAUUUUUUUAGAAAAAGAACACGCAUAGACUUGUCUUUUGUUUGAAAAAAAAAAGAUAUUUGUACAUCGGAAAUUUUUUUUGAGGUUAUUCAUCUUUUAUAAUGCACAUUAAUCUGGUAUUAAACAGACUUCGCAUAUUAUUCAACCCUAAAAGCCUCAACUUGUCAUUUUAUAUUGUACACUCUUAAAAGUGUGUAACUUUCUUAUAUUUGUCGACUCCCCUUUUAAGUUCUAAUGUAUACUAAAGAAUCUUUAGUCGGUCAUUUUUAAUUUUAAUUUUUGAAGGUGUCAAAGAAAUUAUGAUAUAUAAUCAAUUGGUGGGGCUGUGAAGCCAAGAACACAUCACUUCAUGGAUUUAAUAUCUCUCUCUCUCUCUCUCUCUCUCUCUCUCUCUCUCUCUCUCUCUCUCUAUAUAUAUAUAUAUAUAUAUAUAUGUAAUAUUUUCCCUUUGAGCCCGAGAGAUUGGGGACCAAUAAUGCAUGUGAUCGGCGAAUUAAGGGUUUAGUACAUGUUUUAGAAAUAAUUCAUUUAAAAAAAAGUGUGAAUGAAAAGUAAAUGUUUAUGAUCGUGCAUUCCCAUUCCCUCUACCAGAAAGUAAAAGAUAUGAUAGCGAGAAGGGAGAGGGAAAAAAAAUACAAAGUCACCACCUGAAAGAAGUGAAAUGCUCAGAUAAAAAAAAAACGUCAUAUUGUUAAACAGAUUAAUAUGGCUCUAAUCUCCUUGUGAAUUUUACAUUAUGAUGUUAUCAAAUUACGGAAAACUCGUCAUUUUUUUUUCUUAAUUGUAGACCAAUAUAAGACAAAAAUAAAAGAGGGAUUGCUUUCAUCCAAGGUAAAUAGGAAAUACAUUGUUGAAAGCAACCUUCUUGUUUGUUCGAUCUUUUCAUACUUGUCGGAAUCAUCAGAUCACCAUUGCUUGUGAUGGAGAGCACGUUAUGUCUGAGUGAACUUCACGCCUUUAUGAACGAUUCAGAAUACAUAAUGUUUAAAGAACGCUUCUAGAGAGAAUGCCUUCUUGCUGCACAAAAAGAUGUAGAUAAACAGACGAAAGGCUGGAUGGAGAGCACAUGCUCUCCGGACGAUUCUGCUCAUUGAUCGCAUAUUCUGGAUAUGUGAUCAAUGUAUGCUUUCAGUGGAAGUUACAGUGUUAAAACCUCGUAGCAAGAGUGCUGAGGUAAUAGUUGAUAAUCGGAAUCGCUUCAUAAGAGAAUCAUGGUCCUCUGAUCACAAAUUUUCUGUUCAUCAGUCUGAUGCAUAAAGUAUAAUUUUCAGUAGAUUAUAUAAUGUUAGAUGGUGAUUUUUUCACUCCUUCACUAUUUGCAAAGCGAACUAAACCAACUUGGUUAAUGGAUUAGUGAUGUGCCUGACCCUUUUUUUCUUGUUUAGGCAUGUGCUUUAUUUUCCUUAUUGAACAGACAAAAUUAGCUGCCUUUGAUCUCUUCACAUGGUCAUUCACGUUGAAGGAGGAAUCAGUAAUCUUAUCAUAUCUUAAACAUAUGCAAAUUUUCAGCACUGUAACUGUCAAGUAAAAGCCUAUUCACCAAUAAAGCAGAAAAAAAUGACAAAAUCAUAAAGAUUCUAACAAUAUAUGAAUCGAGAAAAGCCAACACAUCAGUCGUAAGCAAUGAAGUUUUUGAUAAAAAUACGUGUGCGCUCUAACUUGGUCAUGUGUAGAAAAAUCACAUUUUAUCCUCUAUUUGGAUAACCACAAGAAAAGUCUCGAUCUGAAGAAAAAGGGAGAACAAUUGACAAAACAAGCACUCUUGAGCAAAAAACUAUUUAUUUUGAUUUGUCUAACCUUUUGUAUGUGUCUCUUAAAAGUCUUGGUAUGUUUUUUUAUUCUCUUUGGUCAGUGAACGUCUUGGUCUUCCUAUAAUUCAUAGUUUUUGCUCUCCACUAGCUCAUUUUAACUUUGCUUCAUCAUAACACCUUUGUUGUUCUCUAUAGUGACCGAUUCACCCAUGGCCAUUGGAGAGAUCAUUUUGGGUUCCUUCUUGGCUUCCCUCUUUCAAGUCUUGUUUGAAAAGUUGGCUUCUCUCCCUUUGGGCUCUACACAACAAGAAGGAAUCAGCAUUGCCCCGCUCAAGGAGUGGGAGGAAAAGCUGACAAUGAUCAAUGCAAUGCUGGCUGAUGCAGAGGACAAGCAACUCGAAGGUGAUCAUCAAGUGAAGCUAUGGUUGGAUGAUGUUGGGGACUUGGCCUAUGACAUGGAAGACUUGCUUGAUGAGUUUGCCAUCAAUACUGCUCAAGUUAAGAUGGAGGUAGAAUCCAGCACAAGCAAAGGUCGAAUGAAAUGGAAGUUCUCUUGCUUUGGCCGAAAUAAACCCUCCAAAUGGAAUCCGAACCCAUCCUCACUCGUGUCUAAAACCAUGGUCCAAGAGAUCAAUGGUAGGUUGGAAGCGAUCGUCGACAGGAAGGCUCAUUUAGGCUUGAAAGUGAUCGUCAACGGGAAGGCCUGUUUAGGGUUAGAAGCGGAUGUUGUGAAUAGAUCCAACUGCAUCAAUAAAAGGGUUCCCACUAGUUCUCUAUCGGAGCGUCAGUUUUUUGGCAGGGAGGAGGAAGAAAGGGAGAUACUCAAACUAUUGAUCCAUGAGGUCAAAAAUGACACACCAAGCAUAGUCCCCAUAGUUGGGAUGGGCGGUGUUGGAAAGACGGCCUUGGCUCAGCAGCUAUAUAAUAAUGCCGAAGUGAAUAGCUAUUUUGAGAAGAGAGCAUGGGUUUGUGUCUCAGAUGUUUUUGAUGUCCUUGACAUAACAAAGACUAUUUUGCAAUCGAUCACCGGAUUGUCCAACGAGGGUAAAGAUCUUAAUGAGCUUCAAGUUAAGUUGAAGGAUAGUCUAUCUAGUAAGAAGUUUCUUGUGGUUUUAGAUGAUAUCUGGAAUGAGAAGCAUAAAGAAUGGGAUGCUCUCUUAAAGCCAUUUGAAGCGGGGGCUAAGGGAAGCAAGAUCAUCAUCACGACUCGCAGCCGUGAAGUUGCUUCCAUAACAAAAGCUUCACCAUAUCCUUUAAGGGAAUUGUCCUUUGAUAAUUGUGUAAGCUUAUUAGCAUAUCAUGCUCUUGGAGCAACAAAUUUUGAUAGCCACCUCGCCUUUGAAAUAAUAGGCAAGAAAAUAGCUGAAAGAUGUCAAGGUUUACCUUUGGCAGCGAAGUUGUUCGGCAGUGUCCUACAUACUAAGAAAACUCCUGAGGAAUGGCAAGAUGCCUUAAAUAACAAAAUAUUGAAUCUUCCGAUGGCAAAGAAUGAUGAGGUUCUUCCAGUUUUAAGAUUGAGCUAUGUCCAUCUUCCUUCCCAUUUGAAGAGGUGUUUUACUUAUUGUGCGAUAUUUCCUAAGGAUUACGAAAUUGAAAGGGAUGAGUUGGUACUCUUAUGGAUAGCGGAGGGAUUGUUAGAUGGACAAAAAACAAAUGAGAAUAUCUUGAAAUUGGGACGGAAUCACUUUGAUGAGUUAGUAUCCAGGUCAUUCCUUCAACAAUCAAGUAUCGACGCAUCUAAGUUUUCAAUGCAUGAUCUUUUGAAUGAUCUAGCAAAGUCAAUUGCAAGAAGGACUUGCUUUAGCUCGGGCAGCUCUCAGGUGGCAAGUAAUGAACAUGAUGUACCAUCUCUUGAAAAAACUCGUUAUGCAUCAUUCAUCCCAUUGUGGUAUGUUGCAUCAGAAUGCCUAAAACCAUAUCAAGGAAUGAAGGCACUAAGAAGUUUAAUUCUAGUGCGUGAUGGAUCUAGUGGGGGCUCUUUCUCUAUUUCCAACAAGGUGCUGCAUGACUUGCUAACAAACUUGGAGUACUUGAGAGUAUUCUCGUUAUGUCAUUGUAAUAUCGUAGAGGUACCGAAUUGUGUUGGUGAUCUAAAACAUCUUCGAUAUCUCAAUUUCUCAUACACUCAUAUCGAGAGGCUACCUGAGUCAAUUAGUGCCUUGUGCAAAUUACAAGCUCUAAUUUUAAGAGGUUGUAAUAAGCUUUCAAAGUUGACUCAAGGUAUCACAGAGUUAGUCAGCUUACAGUUUCUUGAUAUUAGAGAUACAGUGAGUCUAAAAGAGAUGCCGUUGGGUAUCGGUAAUUUAAAGAAUCUUAUUAUCUUGUCCAAAUUUGUGGUAGGACAAGAGAAAGGGUCGCGGUUGAAAGAGUUAAAGAACUUGCCACAUCUUGAAGGACAAUUAUUCAUAUCAGAAUUGCAAAAGGUGGAAAAAGUUAUAGAUGCAGCCGAUGCUAAUUUGCUUCAAAAGCUAGACCUUGCCAACUUAUCCUUGCAGUGGGAUAAACAUGUGGGAAAUCGCCAUAAUCAUGAGCUUGAAGCACAGGUGUUUGACUUUCUACAACCUCACACUAAUCUUAAAAAUCUCACUAUUUUGAACUAUAGUGGUGCAAGAUUUCCAUCAUGGUUAGAUUGUACGUAUUCUAAAAUAGUGUCUUUAUGCUUGCGGGACUGUCCUAAUGUUGUGUCGCUGCCUAUGAUUGGACAACUACCUUCACUUAAGGAAUUAUCUCUUAAAGGUCUAGAUGCAAUAGGAAGGCUAGGCUCUGAAUUCUAUGGAGGCAAGAUGCCUUUUUCAUCAUUAACAACUUUGAAGUUUGAAAAGAUGUCGACAUGGAGGGAUUGGUCUCCUUAUGUCGAGGGCCCAGAAAAAAAAGUUUCAUUCUCCUGUCUUAUGCAUCUUGUUGUCCGGGGCUGUCCUCUGUUGGUCGGGACAUUACCUGAUCGACUUGAUCAUCUCAUAAAGCUUGAAAUUCAUUCAUGUCCGCAUUUGGAAAACUCAACCAAUGUUUGCCUUCCAUCUCUCUAUGAGUUGUUCCUUGAGAAUUGUAACAAGGAGAUCUUGAAAAGCUUGGUCAACCUAACUUCUUUGACCAUUCUUACAAUUAAGAAUCUUGCAGAGCUUGUUUGCUUUGAUUAUGGGUUUAUGAGCCACUUGAUCAAGCUAAAGAAGCUUCAUAUAGUAGGGUGUGACCAGUUAAAAUACUUGUGGCAAGAUGGAAAUGAAAUGCUAAAUCUCACUUGUCUCCAAGAAUUAACCAUCGCAAGUUGUCCUCAGUUCACAUCAUUCGUGCCAAGAGAAAGAGAAAUAGAGUUGCCGUGCAACCUUGAAAAGAUGGAAUUGAGUAAUUGCACCAAUUUAGAAAAGCUUCCAAGCAAGAUGUACACACUCAGUUAUUUGUCUAUUGAACAGUGUCCAAAACUCAUAAGUCCAACCAUUUCUUCAAAUGACCCCAACAGCAACAACACGAGGUCUCAACUUCAAUCUUCAUGUACAAGUAAAUGCGAUUCUCUGACAUCUUUUCCCUUAGCCAAAGGUAGACUUGCUACUCUAAAGGAAGUUUCUAUUCGAGUGUGCGAGGGAGUGGAGUCGUUGGAAGAGAUCAUCGUAGAAUCGCUCGAAUGUAUGAGUAUUGGCAAUUGUGAGAAUCUAAGAAGCCUACCGCAAUACCUUCACACGUUCUCCCAUCUUACUCGCUUGUAUAUAAGUGACUGUCCAGCACUGGAGAUAGAGGACUUUCCUACCCUUCCCCUCACCCUAUCAGUUCUCAGGCUUGAGAGAUGUUCAAAGAUAAAAUCUAUUGCCAGCCUUAGUAAUCUCACUUCUUUGGGAAUGAGCGAGUGUCCAGCACUGGAGAUAGAGAAUUUCCCUCCCCUUCCCAUCACCUUGUCUUCUCUUACACUUAUAGAUUGUCCGAAGAUAAAGUCUCUGCCAAAUCGCUGGCGUCAUCUUACAUCCCUCCAGUACAUACUUAUUGUACGUUGCCAAAAUAUCAAAUGGUUGCCCAAAGGAGGUUUGCCUCCCAAUUUAGAGACCCUCGUUAUUUAUAAGUGCGAGAAUCUGGAGCCAGAGCCAGUGAGAGAAUGGGGCUUUCACCGGCUCACGUCCCUCACGUCUCUAGAUAUUGACGGAAGAAUCAUGGGAGGGGAGGGAGAGAAGGCGCGGUUUCCUUCGGGGGACGAGGACGAGGAGGAUGCGUGGCGUCUUCUCUAUCCUUCCUCUCUAACACGUCUUCAUAUAACAAAUAUGAGGAACGUGGAAAGAUUAUCACGCGGUCUUCGGAACCAUCUCUCCUCUCUCCAAGAGUUAUGGAUUCAAGAUUGCCCGAAGUUGAGGGACUUGCCAGAGGAUGGCCUCCCUCCCUCCCUCCAUACAUUCAUAAUUCAUGGAUGCGAGAUUCUAAAAGAUCGAUGCUCAAAACACACCGGUGACUGUUGGCCCCUCAUCCAAGGGAUCCGUUCCAUCUUCAUUGAUGGCUCUCGGAUCCAAUAAAUUGAUUCGUCCUGCUACGGUCAGGUUUUCUAGGGUUCGGGUAAGCUUAUGGUUUCGAAGGCAUCGAUUUCCCGUUCUGCUUCCUCAACUCGAUCCUCAAUACAAAUCGAUACUUUCCCAUGUAGAUGUUUCACGUAACUUUCUGGAAGUCCGAGAAAUCCCUAUCAUACGCAUUGAUUGGGUUCGGAUCCAAUGAAGUGAGAUCGAUCCGCUUUCGCUUUCAUUUGCCAAAUGCCGCGAUUCAUCCCAAUUGCACUGCUUGCGGAAAUUCCAUUCGACACUUUGCCAUGGGAAAGAAUUAAUUCGCAUAAAGCAUCGAAUUGAAGAACAGAAGCGAAAUUGAUGCAUUCAAGACCGAGAAACUUACCCUAACAGCAAGAAAACUGACUGUAUCGUGAAAUACAACUAAAAUUCAGGGCUGAAAGAAUGAUAUUUAGUUGCUUGAAUCCCAUCGAGAGCUUCCUUUGCCACUGCAGCAUCCAUCUCAUCUACUGCGUUGGGCCUGCUUUUCUCUUCAGUCACUGCAAUGCACUUUUGGAACACCCGAUCAUGACUCUGCUUCCAUUUUUACUGGAACACCCUUCAAAAGAGCUUUUUUGACCUGUGCAAGUGAUAGUUUUUAGUAUCUGGUGAUUUAAGGGUAAAAGUUACUAUAUUUUGAGCUUUCCAGAUAUACCAACAGGUCUAGGCAAUCAUUCCUAGGAGUCAUUAAGCAUACAAAUGAGUCACCAUCACUAGUGAUUGGUGGUCUCCCAUAUUUGUGAGUUAACAAAUCACAAGAAUUUUUCAAUGAAAAAAACAAAUAGAAAAUCAUCAAGAGGGUGUCCCACUUCAUUUUUCAUUGCUGUGAAUUGGGUAUGCAUAUAAUUUUGUUCUGAGCACUCUACGCAUGAAAGGUAAUUUUUAUUCAGGACUAAUUGCUUUGUCUUGUUUCAGAUUUUUGGCUGAGAAAUAUGAGGGAUGUGGAAAGACUAUCAACUGUGGACGAUGUAACAAGCGUGGAGUAUUCUGUUUCCUUCGUCUCUACAUCUCUUUGGAUGAGAACUAUGAGGAAUGGGGAAAGAUUAUCAAAUGAUCUUCACCGCUAUCUCUCCAUUCUUGAAUGGCUACAUUUUAUGGGUACUGGAACUUGCCAGAGGAUGGCUUCUUUCCCUCCUCCAAGUAUUCGGCACAAUGCAAUUUCAAAUUCUGAAAGAUUGAUGCUCAAAACUCAGUGGUGACUAUUGGCACCUCAUCCAAGAUAUCCAGCUCAUCGUAGUUGAUCGAGUUCGGGUAAUAUAAGAAGAUAUCUCUCCAAUGUCUAAUUUUUGUCCUUCAGGUAAUGAUUCAGACUUCCUUUCUUUCUUGCACACUCGUCAUUUAGCUACUGUUGCUGCUGCAGGAUCCAUGUCUAUUCUGAAAUCGUCAACUCAAUACUAAAAAGUUCAUGUUAUUCAAUGGACGAGCUUCACCUAAAUUUCCACAAACCAGAUACCGAAGGUCCAACAUUGACAUUUAGGUUGCUCUGUUUUGUUUAACAAGGAAGUACGCAAUGAUAUGGUUAAAAUGCUUGCAUCGUACAGCGAGUCAACCAUUGUUUUAUACAAGUGACUAUUCCUCAAAAGAAAUAAUACUUGCAUGGAUUUGCUCACAGUGCUGGAAUUAUGAUGCGUGGAUGUGCCUGUUUGAUGUUAUAUUUUGAACUUUUUUCAUCCCCAAAACUUGUUUAUCUUUCCACUUAUGCAAAUGCACUAUGCUUUGCGUGAGAAUCAUGAAGAAUUGUUGCUCUUAUAUUGAUAUUUUUCUGCAAUUUUAGCGUUUGUUGUAUUUUCUCUUCCAAAUAUCUUCUGUUUUAUGCUCCAGCUCAGUGACCUGAAUUAUCUCAACUGUGCUUGUUUGGCAAAACAUCCCACUGUCAUCUUUGCUUGGCAAAAUCUCUCGGUAGGAUCAAAUGCAAACACUGUCAAGUUAGGCAACUAAUGUGCUUAUGUUUAUCUUUUGCAACUUUACAAAAAAAACAAAAAACAAAAAAACAAAAGGCUAUUUAUUUUGGUAGGCGUACUGAUAUGCUCUAAACUGUUUUUUUUUAGUGACAUGCUCCAAAAGAUUAAUCCAUAUCAUGAUGUCAAUUUUCGAGUUCUAUAUUCAUGGUCAAAUGGAGAAGCUUUUUUACUUAUAACAACAGCAGCUACUGUAAAGAUGCAAAAAAUAGGAUUUAAAACAGGUGUUUUCAAGUUGGUGAAUAUGACAACAAAAUUUGAAUGAGCCCUGCAGUAUAAGCCAUUUACAUCUAAGUUCCUUGUUAAAGUUCAUCAUUCAUCUUUCUCCUAUUCAACUUCCCACACCAUCUCAGAGCACAUUUUCUUUUUCUUUGUUGUUGGGAAAAGGCGGAAAGGAGCAAUAAGGAAGACUAUGAUUUGUCCAAAUUCUGGGAUAUUUCUAUGGAAGAUUCUGAAAGAUCAAUGCUCAAAACUCACUGGCAACUAUUGGCCCCUCAUCCAAGAGAUCCCUCCCUUCUACAUUGAUGGUGUUCAAAUUCAAUGAAUUGAAAUUGAUCACACCUGAGCCAUGACAAAUGAUUUAUCUCCAUUGACUACUUUUCCUUCUUCAGGUAAUUCUAAUAACUUCUUUCAUUCUUUUGCUUCCAUUUGCUAUCUGCCGCAAUUUGUUGUUCCACCUAAAGUCAGCUUUCUGGGGUUGAGGUCAAUAUUUUUGGUUUGAAGGUAUCAAUUUCUAUUAUGUUCUUCAGUUUGAUGCUUAAUACGGAUUGAUUUUUUCCCGUGGAGAUGUUUCUCAUAGAAUUUCCAAAAACCAGCCACUGAAGGUCAGAGACUAACAUUUCGGUGUGUCGUGCGUGUCCUCGAUGGGGUCUUUUCUUUUUAGGCCAGCAACUCACGGUUGAAAUAAGCCAAAUGUGAUAAGAAGGAUGGGGGAUAUAGAUGUAGGUCCCAGUUUUGGCAAAGCUACCUAAUGGGCACAAGCAUUUGGUUUUCGUGAAAUACAACUAAAAUUUGGAGCUGCAAAAUGAUCUUUAGCUUCUUGAAUCCCAUCAGGCACGUCCUUUAGUCUUUAAUUGCACUGUUUGGGAAAAUUGAUAAUAUCCUUGUAUACCACAGCUGCAUUCAGCUCCACUACUACCUUGAUUCAGCUUUUUCUUUAGCUACUGCAAUGCUCUUUCGAACAGCAAGUAAUUCAGCCUCCUUUGCAGAUCUAGCUUGCACUACCACACCUCUGCAGGCAAUCAUCUUCCCUGUUUCAUUUCUGGCUGUAAUCCAAAUGACAGCAUGUUUAGUUCCUCCAAUGUAAGAGCCAUCACAGUUAAUCUUCACAAAACCUAGCUCAGGUUUACUCUACACACCUUGCCUUUCGUCCACCCAAUCAUGACCCAGCUCUCCUACAUUUUUACAAGAAACAUAGUUUGAAAGUGCUUUUUUAAUCUGUAGGAGUGACAGUUUCAGGAUCAAGUGAUUUAUGGUCGAAGAUUACUGCAUUUCUAGCAUUCCGGAUAUACCAACUGGUGUAGGCAAUCAUUCUUAAGCAUUAUCAGCCUGUACCAAGUCAUUCGAAUAUCCUAGCCUCAUAUUUGUAGAAUAUCAACCCAUACCAAUAAGUCACCAUCGCCAGUGAUUAGUGGUCUCCCAUACUUGGAAGUUUACAUAGCCAUAAGGGUUUUUUUAGCAAAAGGAAAAACCAUUCAAAGGGUCACUCAUUCCUGACAAUAAUAAAGCAAAGUAUCCCGGUUCUUGUCUUCUUUGCUUAUUUUUGGUUGCUUUUGGGUGGGUAUACAUAUGAUUUUGUUUGUCGGAUCACUCUUAUAGUUGUUCAUUAAGCAUGAAAGGCAACUGUUAUUCAGGACUAAUUGAUCAUCCCGUUCCAGGUUUUUGGAUGAGAAAUAUGGGGAAUGUGGAAAGACCAUCAACGGUGGAGGAUGUAUGAUGCAUGGAGUCUUCUGUUUCCUUCCUCUCUAACCUCUCUUUGGAUGAGAAAUAUGAGGAGUGGAAAGACUAUCAAGUGGUGUUCAUGGUCAUCUCUCCUCCCUCAAAACAGUUAUAUUUUCUAUGUUGCUCGAAGUUUGGGUACUUGCCAGAGGAUGGCUUCCCUCCCUCCCUCCCUCAACGUAUUCCACAUAAUUCAAUGUGAGAUUUUGAAGGAUGGAUCCUCUUUUGCGGGCAACUACUGGCACCUCAUCCAAGAAAUCUCACUCAUUGUGAUUAAUCUAGUUCGGAUCCAACAGGAAGAUUUCUCUCCACUGUCUUAAGUUUUGCUCUUCAGGUAAUGAUUCGGACUUCUUUCUUUCACACUUGUCAUUUAGCUACUGCUGCUCCAGGAUCCAUUUUCAUUAUGCUUCCUCAACUCAAUGCUAAAAUGUUAAUUUUUUUCCAUGGACGUGCUUCACAUAAAUGUCCACAAACCAGCUGCUGAAUGUCCAACGUUGACAUUUGGGUUGCCCUGUUUUGUUUACCGAGGAAGUACACAAUGAAAUGGUUAUAAUGCUAACGUGGUACAGCCAAUGACAAUUCCUCGAACAAAUAAUACCUCCAUGGACUUGCUCAUGGUGCUGGAAUUAUGAUGCGUCAAAUGUGCCUGUCUAUAUUGAUUAUAUAUCUAGAAUUUUGUGUGAUGGCCAAAAAUUGCUUAUCUCUGCACUUGGAUGACACAUAAAGAAUUUGCAAAUGGAAAUGCACCAUGCAUUGCGUGGGAAUUAUGAAAAAUUGUCACUCUCAUAUCGAAAUUGUUCUGCAAUUUCAACAUUUGCUGUAUUUUCUCUUCCAAAUAUCUAUUUCUUAUGCCCUAGCUCACUGACCCGAAUUCUCUCGACUGUGCUUGUCUUGCAGAAGAUUCCACUGUCAUCUGUGUCUGGCAAAAUCUCUUGGGCUGAUCAAAUGCAAAUGUUGUUGAGGUAGGCAACUGAUGUACUUAUGUUCAUCUUUUGCAACCUGACAAAAGAUCAAAAAAAAAAAAAAAAGCUAUUAAUUUUGGUAGGUGUAUCGAUAUGCUGUAAUUUUUUUUUCUUUUUGUGACAAGGUCUAAAUAAGAUUAAUCUUUAUCAUGAUGUUGAUUAUCAAGGUCUAUAUUCAAAGUCAAAUUAAGAAGCUUUAUUACUUUGAAUAACAGCUAUUGUAAAGAUGCAAAAAUGGGAUCUAUAACGGGUUCUCAACUUGGCAAAUAUGACAACUAAAUUUCAAUGAACCUGCAGAUUAUAAUCUAUUUAAAUCUGACUUUCUCAUUAAACUUCACAAUUCAUCUUUCUUCUAUUUAAAUUUUACACCAUCUCAAAGAACUUUUUCAUUUUCUUUGUUGUAAAGGAAAGGCGGGGAGGAGUAAUAAGGGAGACUAUACUUUGUUGCUCUGUUGAGUAGUCCUAAAAUUCCCACGUCUGCCACGAAGUAUUGUGAUUUAAAAUUGCAAGAAGGUCAUCAUCCAAUACCACUCACAACCCAGUUAUCUUGGGUAGGCAAGCCUUAUCAUUAUCCUACUAAGCUGCCAGAGCUCCAGUUAAUCUUCGCAAAACCUAGUUCAGGUUACUCUACAGACCCUGCCUUUCGUCCACCAAUCAUGACAGUGAUUUAUGUAGUGACAGUUCCAGUAUCAAGUGAUUUAUGUUUUUAAUGGUUACUGCAUUUCGAGCGUUCCAGAUAUACCAAUAGGCUUAGGCUAUCAUUCUUAAGAGUUAUCAGCUCGUACCAAGUUAUUCAAUCUCCUGACCUCACAUUUGUAAAAUAUCAGCCCGAAUGAAAAAGUCUCUAUCACCAGUGAUUAGUGGUCUCCCAUACUUGUUUGUUAACAUAAUCAUAAUAUUUUUCCAGCAGUUAAUAUAUAUAUAUCUAUCANNNNNNNNNNNNNNNNNNNNNNNNNNNNNNNNNNNNNNNNNNNNNNNNNNNNNNNNNNNNNNNNNNNNNNNNNNNNNNNNNNNNNNNNNNNNNNNNNNNNCAAUUUUUAUUCAGGACUAAUUGCUCGUCCUGUUUCAGACUUUUGGAUGAGAAAUGUGAGGACUGUGGAAAGACUGUCAAUGGUGGAGGAUGUAAGAAGCAUGGACUAUUCUGUUUCCCUUGUCUCUAUUUUCUCCUUGGAUGAGAAACAUGAGGAACAUGGAAAGAUUAUCAAGUGGUCUACCUCUCCUCUCUCAAACAGCUAUCUUUUGUAGGUUUUAUUGGUACUUGCCAGAGGAUGGCUUUGCUCCCUACUCCAAGUAUUCAGCAUGGUGCGAUGUGAAAUUCUAAAAGAUCUAUGCUCAAAACUCAAUAGUGAUGACUGUUGGCACCCCAUCUAAGAAAUCCCACUCGUUGUGGUUGAUUGAGUUCAGAUUCAAUAAGAAGAUUUCUCUGCAAUGUCUAAUUUUUAUUCUUCAGGUAAUGCUUCGGACUUCUUUCUUCUUCCGCACUUGUCAUUUAAUUACUGCUUCUGCUCCAGGAUCCAUUUCUAUUACAAAUCCUCAACUUGAUGCUAAAAAGUUCACGUUUUUCCAUGCACAAGCUUCACAUAAUUUGCCACAAAGCAGCUAGACAUUUGGGUUGCUCUGUUUUGUUUGAUAAGGAAGCACAUAAUGAAAUGGUUAUAACGCUAAUGGGGUACACAGCUAGUCCACCAUUUUUUCAUACGAGUGACUAUUCCUCAAAACAAAUAAUACUCAUAUGGACUUGCUCACAGUGCUGGAAUUGUCAUGCGUGGAUGUGCCUGUCUGGAUUGAUGAUAUAUCUUGAACUUUGUUUGGUGCUCAAAUAUGGCUCAUCUUUCCACUUAUGGAAAUGCACUAUGCUUCGUGUGAGAAUCAUGAAGAAUUGUUGCUCCUAUACCAAUAUUUUUCUGCCAUUUCAGCAUUUGUUGUAUUCUCUUCCAAAUAUCUUCUUUUUUUUUUUUUUUUUAUGCCCUAACUCAGUGACCUGAAUCCUCUCAACUGUGCUUGUUUUGCAGAAUAUCUCGCUGUCUUCUUUAUUUGGCAAACUCUCUCAGAAGGAUCAAAUGCAAACACUGUUGAGGUAGGCAAAUGAUGUGCUGAUGUUCAUCUUUUGCAACUUGACAAAAGAAAAAUAAAAGGCCAUUUAUUUUGGUAGGUGUAAUGAUAUGCUUUAAACUGUUUUUUCGGUGACAUGCUCAAAAAGAUUAAUCUGUAUCAUGAUGUCAAUUAUUGAGGUCUACAUUCAAAGUCAAAUGAAGCAGUUUUCUUACUUCCAACAGCAGCAGCUAUUGUAAAGAUGCAAAAAAUAGGAUUUAAAACCGGUGUUUUCGAUUUAGUGAAUAUGACAAUUAAUUUUGAAUGAAUCCUGCAGAUUAUAAUCCAUUAAAUCUGACUUCCUUGUCAAAGUUCAAAGUUCAUCUUUCUACUAUUCAAAUUCCCACACCAGCUCAGAGCACAUUUUCCUUUUUCCUCGUUUUCAAGGAAAGGCAAAGAGGAGCAAUCAGGGAGACUAUGCUUUGCCACUCUGUUAAGUCAUCAUGAAAGCCUCACGUUUGCCACGAUGUAUUUUGAUAUAAGAUUGUGAGAAGGCCGUUAUCCAAUACUACUCACAACCAUUUAUAUAUGGUAGGCAAGUUUUGUUACUCUGACCCUACCAAGCUGCCAGAGCUCACGUCACGGAUAAGACAAGAUUCAUGCGCCAUCAUCGCCAGGGGGUUAUCCUUGUGUCAUCGCGUUUGUGAAAUAUCAGCUUGUGCCAAUAGGCCACAAUCACUGGUGAUCAGCGAUUCCCCAUAGUUUUGCAUUAGCAUUAUCAUUAGGGUCAUUCAGGAAAAACAAGAUAUCAAAACUCACAUUUUUUAUUUGGAUUAGCAAUGGGAAGUACCCUGGUAUGUCUUGUAGAUUUUUGGUUGAAGUUGGGUGAGUAUGUGUAUAAUGUGUAUGUCUGAUUACUCUUGUAAUUGUUUAUUUCACACGACAAAGUAAUUUUUAUUGUGGGCUACUUGAUUUUCUCAUCCCAUGAUUUUUUUUGUUCCCAUUUUCAUAUCACACGCCAUAUAUUAAUCUUUUUGUUGAACUUGAAGAGUACGAUACAGUGAUUGUGAUUCUAUCGAGAUAAUUAUAUUGACUAUUGCGAUCGACGAAAGUUGGGGCAUUAAAGAAAUGUCUAGGGACUUAGUGAGGUGAAUUCCGUUUAACGAAAAAACAAAUGUUUCUUUUGUUUUUUUUAUCUGUUUCACUUUUUAUGCAAUUAAAAAGCAACUUUUUCUCAACGAUUUAUAAGAAUUUAAGACGUCUUCAAAACACUUAUCUUCAUCUGGUCAACUCGAGUUAGAUGCCUUUAUACGAAGUGUUACAAAUCUUCUUGUUUUUUGUUUACAAUAUAUGUUAAUACUUCACAUGAUUGAGUUGAAUAAGGAAUGUUUCAAGAAUACCUAAAUAUUUGUCGCUGAUGAAUUAGAUUUAUUGAUUUUUCGAACAACACUAUGUGAUAUACUAAUUUGUAGAUGUAAAUCAAUGAUAUAAGCAUGUAUAUAAGUUGGGGAUAUCAUUUGUUAAGGUUAAAAUAACUUUUGAAAAAUUUCCCCUUGUCAAAAAAAGAAAAUAAAAUAGAAGGCUUUUCCGAAACUUCAAAAAUUGUGGAUGCCAAAAAAUAAUGUCAAGUCAACUUUUUCAUUAUCCAUGAUAUGACAUUGUUCUUCUUUUCUCUUUGCCAAAAACAUUGAUAUAGCAUAAGAGGGAUCCAUCGUAGUCGAUGGUUCUUAAUAUUUAUAGUAGACUCUAAAUAAGAAAAAGCCAGUAAUAUGACAUUUCGAAUGUAAAGCGAUAUUGACACCUCGGAGUUUAUAUAUUUCCCUUAAUAGAAUGCCUAGUUUAACACCAAAGAGAAGCAAAAUAAAUAAAUAAAAAAGAAUUCCUAGUUAGUUACCCGAAACAAGCCCCUUCUUCAAAUUCUAUAGUGUGAAAUAAAAGUUAAAAUUUAAUAGAAAAAAGGAAGGUUUUAUACAUAUGUUUUCGAAAUGUUUCCGGUGCUCAAGUGCUAAAUGCGGAUCAACUUGAAUUUAACAAUUGCAAUAGUAUUAAGCCCUAACACCAUGCUGCAAAGGCAUUGAAUGGGUUGUCGUUGGUAUGUUGGGCCUAGAAAGAUAGAUAGCCCCAACUCUUGGGCCUUGAUCCAAAAAUGGAUCCGAUUUUACUGGGACUUGAUGUACAAUUUGGAUAACAAGGCAAAGAAGGUUGUUCGGCUAGGACAACACUCACUAAUUGUAGAACUAUUGAAUAGGCGAGCCUAGAUGGACCAAGUUGGACAUUAACCAUCAAAAUUCUUACCCAUUCCGCCCUAAGAUUUUGGAAAUUAUUAUACUUUCUUCUUAUAAAUAAAAGCAUUAGGGCAAGCCAGUGCCCAUGAAGAAAGUUACAAUAAAACCAUGUCGGGCGAGUCUUGGUAGCUCCGAGCUCUAAGAUAAGAGUCAUGGCCCCAGGCUUGCUCAAUUGUUUACCCUUUUUUGGGCUAGGUUGAGCUAAGCUUGAUGGACAAUUCUUUUGUCAAGCUAAGCUCGAUGAGCNNNNNNNNNNNNNNNNNNNNNNNNNNNNNNNNNNNNNNNNNNNNNNNNNNNNNNNNNNNNNNNNNNNNNNNNNNNNNNNNNNNNNNNNNNNNNNNNNNNNNNNNNNNNNNNNNNNNNNNNNNNNNNNNNAUGUGAACUCAUAUGAGCUCAAACUUAUGGUCUAUUAUGUGCGAAAACACACAAUCAGGUAUGGAGAACGAUGAGUUAUUACAAUGGCUCUCUUUAGAUUUAGUUAAUGACAGUGUAAUCUUUAUAAUUCCUGUCCUUCCAAAUUCUAGAGUGAUAAAGAUGAGUCGUCAUCAUCACCUAACAACAAUUUAUGGGACCAUACGGUGAGUCGACCAAAAGACAACUUCUGUCGAAGGAUUCAAUGCAAAACAAAAGCCGCGAGAAGAUGGUGGAAGAAGAAUUUUUAGCGAGGGAGAGCACUGAGUUCGGCAGAGCUCCAGCUCAGUUUCUGACGUCUCUCGGCCUUUGCUCCGACGACAACGGCUCCUUCUACUCAGCUCCUCGCCGUUCGAUCGCUAAAGCUUAGUUCUCUCUCUCUCUUUCUAUGGUUUUCGGCUUUUGGUUCAAUGAAUCGAACUGAGCUCUCUGUUUUUUCUUGAAUUUCCAGAGGAGAGACUUCUUCAUCGACUUUCCUCCUUCUCGGUUUCUGUUGAUGUCCCGGACCUUGGUUGUUGCCGAUGGUAAUAACUGAUGCGAAUCGCUGCUUGAAAAUGGCGUAUAUUAGUUCUUUAACGGGGAGGGGUUUUACCUGUUCGACAGAAUGCCUGACUCAGUCAUAGAUAGUUAAUUCCUAUUGCAUUCUGCUUACCAACGUUUUGAUGUCCCAUUGAAGUUGCACUGCUCGUCUCUUACUGCAUUUCCCGUAUAGAGUUGAUAGAAAUGCGAUUAUGUGUGCUUUUAGUAUGUCAAAUGUGGGUCACGUGCAUUUGAUGUUCGCUGUUCAUGCGUGCAUUUGCUGUGUUAACUGACGUUGAAGAUGUACAUGGUAUUACUCCUCUAUGCUGCUGGACGUGAGAAGUUCUGGUACCGAUGACCUACUUAUGACUUUAUAUACAUAGUCCUUGAGGUGCAUAAAUAUGCAUAGUGAGAUGGGCAUGUGUGGAUAUUGAUGGCUCAUCAAAUUGUCAUCGUUUCCAGCCUUAAAUAUAAUAAGGGUGUUUGCUGGCUGCUUUUGUUCACAUGGGGAUUGUGAGGAUUUCAAUAUCAUUUUGGUAGUGUUCUAGUUGUGUGAACAUAUAGAGAGAUGUCGCAUUGAUGUUACAUUUGUUUUCCAUCAAAUUGGGGCAAUUCAAGGCUUGAAACAUAUAAAAAAUGAUGAUAUUACAUGUUGCCCUGAUUCGAGUCAAGUAAAGCCAUUAGUUGUCUGGUGUUACUUGUGCAUAAUUGGACCUCCUCAGUAUGUGUAUCCAUGUAAGAAAGUGACGUUUUGGAUUCAUUAUGAGUGUGCAGGGGUGAAUUGUCUCAUUGUUAUGCUUGAAGCGUGCUUAAGUUGUCCUAGUAGCUUGCUGUCCGUAUGUAUUUGUGCAGUGAAUGAUAAACUUGCAUUUGUGGCUGGUGGGGUCUUCGUUCGGUUGAAGUGGUUAUUGGCGCUUUCUGUUGGGCCAAUGUGGGUGCCGUUUUUUCUCAUAUAGGACAAUAGUGCAUGGAUGAAAGUUGCUUUCUUUUGAGGUAAAGAAGUUGAGUAUAUUGAGCUAAAUCUUCACUGCAAUAUGUUGACUUCUUCUCAGCUUGCCCAUCAUGCUUUGAGAAUUGUAAAAAUAUNNNNNNNNNNNNNNNNNNNNNNNNNNNNNNNNNNNNNNNNNNNNNNNNNNNNNNNNNNNNNNNNNNNNNNNNNNNNNNNNNNNNNNNNNNNNNNNNNNNNNNNNNNNNNNNNNNNNNNNNNNNNNNNNNNNNNNNNNNNNNNNNNNNNNNNNNNNNNNNNNNNNNNNNNNNNNNNNNNNNNNNNNNNNNNNNNNNNNNNNNNNNNNNNNNNNNNNNNNNNNNNNNNNNNNNNNNNNNNNNNNNNNNNNNNNNNNNNNNNNNNNNNNNNNNNNNNNNNNNNNNNNNNNNNNNNNNNNNNNNNNNNNNNNNNNNNNNNNNNNNNNNNNNNNNNNNNNNNNNNNNNNNNNNNNNNNNNNNNNNNNNNNNNNNNNNNNNNNNNNNNNNNNNNNNNNNNNNNNNNNNNNNNNNNNNNNNNNNNNNNNNNNNNNNNNNNNNNNNNNNNNNNNNNNNNNNNNNNNNNNNNNNNNNNNNNNNNNNNNNNNNNNNNNNNNNNNNNNNNNNNNNNNNNNNNNNNNNNNNNNNNNNNNNNNNNNNNNNNNNNNNNNNNNNNNNNNNNNNNNNNNNNNNNNNNNNNNNNNNNNNNNNNNNNNNNNNNNNNNNNNNNNNNNNNNNNNNNNNNNNNNNNNNNNNNNNNNNNNNNNNNNNNNNNNNNNNNNNNNNNNNNNNNNNNNNNNNNNNNNNNNNNNNNNNNNNNNNNNNNNNNNNNNNNNNNNNNNNNNNNNNNNNNNNNNNNNNNNNNNNNNNNNNNNNNNNNNNNNNNNNNNNNNNNNNNNNNNNNNNNNNNNNNNNNNNNNNNNNNNNNNNNNNNNNNNNNNNNNNNNNNNNNNNNNNNNNNNNNNNNNNNNNNNNNNNNNNNNNNNNNNNNNNNNNNNNNNNNNNNNNNNNNNNNNNNNNNNNNNNNNNNNNNNNNNNNNNNNNNNNNNNNNNNNNNNNNNNNNNNNNNNNNNNNNNNNNNNNNNNNNNNNNNNNNNNNNNNNNNNNNNNNNNNNNNNNNNNNNNNNNNNNNNNNNNNNNNNNNNNNNNNNNNNNNNNNNNNNNNNNNNNNNNNNNNNNNNNNNNNNNNNNNNNNNNNNNNNNNNNNNNCAAAUAUAUGAUUGUGGAAACUACAAAUAUCUGAGGAUUUUGUCCAACAUUACAAGACAAGCACUUGUGGACGCAAAGUACUUUCUAUCAAUUCCUCUAACUACUGAUGUGCAUUCUUGAAAGUCUUGGUCUUUGUUUAUUGUUUUUGGUAGGUGAAAGUCUUGGUCUUCCUAGCUUUUAUGGUUCUCUCUCCCUUAUCUCUUUAUCACUUAGAUUCACCACACCCAUGCCCAUCCUCCUACUCAAUAGUUUUCUCUCUCCCUUAUCUCUUUAUCACUUAGAUUCACCACACCCAUGCCCAUCCUCUUGCUCAAUAGUGUUCUCCUCCUGCUCGUCUGAACCUAGUGCUCGUGCUUGCUGGAUUGCUGCCAUUGAUCUCAUCCCGUUCACCGGUCUGCUCCAAGAAGUCUACUCGGAAAAGGUAAGAGACAUCUAUCUUCUUGCUCUAUUUUUCCCUCAAAUUGAUGCAGCCGCAACUUUGCUAUCUAAAGCAUCUAAUGAGCAUUUAUUACCCGAGAGCAACCACCUAUUCUUUCUGAAAUCUUUCUAUUAUGGAGGCAAAGAAGGGGCAACAGAGCAACAGAAGUUUGGUUCUUAAACCGAUUUCAUGCCUAUCUAUGAUCCUAAUUAAAGUUGAUGUCGAGUUUAAUAACAAAGAAUUGUUGCUUCAAUUUUUGUUAGAUAGUAACAUUAGGACAUUAAGAUUAAUUUUUAAUCUCCUUAUAAUUGAUUUCUUUAGGGCGCGCAUGAUAACCAUUAUGUUUCAUAAAUAAUUUAUGGAACGGAAAUAGAUUUUUCUAUUUCUAUUUCUAGAAGAGUUUCUAAGUAAAAAUAACCGUUUGAUAACGACACAAAAUUUCUUCUUUUCGGAUGACGGCGGAUUGGCGAAUGGCGGCGGGGCCCGGCGGCCAGUGGGCGACCGAUGGACGGUGGUCGGUGGCAACGAAUGAAUGACCAAUUGACGAGCGAUGAGAAAAAAAUUUAUUUCUAAUUUCUAUUCCAGAAAUAUAGAAGUAGAAAAUUUUACUUCCGAUUUCUAUUACAAACCUAUUUUUGGAAUAGAAAUAUAUUCCAGAAAUAGAAAAACGGAAUAAGUUUAUCAAACGGAUUUAUAUUCCAGAAACAGGUUUGAAAUAGAAAAAUUGUUUCUGGAAUAUAAAUUACUGGUUGUCAUGCACCCCCUUACUAAACACACACUAACAUGGAAUGAUUCUACUUGGUACAAGUUUGGGAUUUUACAUGAAAUAAUCACAUAUCUAUUUGGAAUUUUAGUCCAUUAAAUUGGGUAAACAACAAUAAAUAUCGUAAGAGGAUAGCUUCUUUCCUCUUAGAAGAGAUUCAUUCACGUUUACUAUAAUUUCACGGUGCCAAACAAAAUAAAUAACUUUUGUUGUGUCUUUUCAAAUAUUUAUUGUUAUAAUAAGAAGUCCUUGUUAUAUAAAUAUGGUAGAUUUACCAUCAACCGAAAGGGGUAAGGUGAAUUAAUAAGGUGCUUGUGAUUUAGUAUUCUUUUAAGGUGCACCAGUGUAAUCAAUCGAGUUAAGUCAAUUCGCAAAUUAAACUUCACAUGAAGUAGUUUCUACGGAAGCCCCAAGGGUGUUGCAUGUGGACGACUUGUUUUCAUUGUGUGAAAACCAAUGAUAGUUUAGUGCUGGAAAACUUAUCCAUGUAUUUUCUUUCAAGAUAGAGAAAAAUGUGAAGGUGGUUGUGAUAAAAAAAAUUAAAUUUUGAAUUAUGGAAAUUAAAAUUGUGCUUCGUUAAAAAAAGACCACACGAUGACUCAGUGUUUUGUUAGAGAAAAAGGUAUUCUAUGUCGGAAAUUUUUUAGAGAUUGUUCAUCUUUUAUAAUGCGCAUUAAUCUGGUAUUAAACAAACUUCGCAUAUUAUUCAACCCUAAAAACCCAACUUGUCAUUUUAUAUUGUACGCUCCUAAAAGUGAGUAACUUUCUCAUAUUUGUUGACUCCCCCUUUUGAGUUCUAAUUUAUACUAAAGAAUCUUUAGUCGGUCAAUUUUAAUUUUAAUUUUAAUUUUUGAAGGCGUCAAAAAAACUUAUGAUAUUUAAUCAGUUGGUGGGGCUGCGAAGCCAAGAACACAUCACUCCAUGGAUUUUUGCUCUCUCUCUCUCUCUCUCUCUAGAGAGAGGGGGGACCAAUAAUGCUAUGACACCCCCCAACAUCCCCCAAUCCGUUAGGGUCGCCACACUUCUUUCCUCAUCCUAGAUAUCCUUCUUUCUUAUAUCAAUGGACUUCGGAGAAUCCAUAUGGGGGUCUUAUUACACAUUCUUUGGUCCCUACGCAAUGUAUAUGGCGGAAGUGAAUCCAACAACUCCCUUCCUAAACACUGAAAUGAUGCACACUAGAUACACAUAGAUAUCGACCAAGCAUUUUUUUAUUUUUUUUUAUUAACGUAAACUUGAUAGACGUCUUUUGUCGGUACAACAAAAGCCAAAGUUUCCUAUACUUGGCUAUAUGAAAAACUAGACCAACAUUUUCCAUUAGCUACUCACAAGUCGUCUAUCAACAAGUGUCGGUGUCCAAAAUUUCGUUGUUGACCUCAUGUCCUCGAUCACUCUUCAAGAUGACGAACUCCUGAUGCCCGGAACCCAAGGGUAGGCCAGUGUCGAACAUCACUAUCACCCUCACUCAAAUGAAAGUUAGGAUCCUGAUGCUCUGUCUGUUCCCAUUGUAAAUCAAUAGGGAUCCCAUAGAAAGUACCAAGAGGUGCGAGCAGCAGAAACAUCGUCCUUACUCUGAAAUAUGUUAGUCCCCACGAGAAGUGAGUACAACCACUCAGCAGCUAAAGAUCUACUAAACUAUAUUAUGUAGAAUCAUUGUCAUAUGAUUUCAUGCAAAAUCCACAAAACACAUCAAUAAAAGAAUAGAUGCGCAUUAAGUCAAUAAAGCUUUUCAACGAAAUGGCAAGCGCAAUUUAAUAACCAGAACACAUCAUUUCAAUCAUGUGGGUCUUGAUUAUAAGGCCAAAUCGUUAUGACACGUUCUAUACCAUGUCACACAAUUUUAUUCCAUAAUCAGGCGCAACUAUCAAAAUGGCGUAACUCAGCAGCACAAUCAACUUUAAAACUCAAUAGAUUCGUGAUUCACUAUCACCUACUCCCAGAGGACUAGUGUUUGCAUCACUCCAGGCAUUCGCACCCAACUUGGCAUCACGAAAGCCUUCGGUUCAUAUUUCAAUCAUUGGGCAUUCGGAGCGUGUCAUGUCUCACUUCUAGCAUCUCGCACCUAACCUAGCAUCACGACGAUUCAGCAUGGCUCACUAUGUUACUANNNNNNNNNNNNNNNNNNNNNNNNNNNNNNNNNNNNNNNNNNNNNNNNNNNNNNNNNNNNNNNNNNNNNNNNNNNNNNNNNNNNNNNNNNNNNNNNNNNNGUCAUAGCUUACAGAUCCCGACACCCAGGGAACCUCUGGGGCUCACCACAAUAAUGGUGUCCAACAGGCAUCCAGAGCGUGUCAUGUCUCACCUCUAGGCAUCCCAUCUCCUGAGACUUCGUCAUCCUGAGGGUUCGACGGUAGCAAUAAUAUAUCAACCAUGGUGUAGUCAUUUAAAUCAAAUCAAUGCCAAAACAUUUUCAAAGGCACAUCAAUACCACAACAAUAGUUUUUAAAACAUAUGUCAAUCCUAUAUCAAUGAAAUCAAAAGCACGAUACAAAAUCCAUAAGAUUCACUUCCACAGUUAAACCUCUAAUAGGUUUCGAAAUUCACUUAUAAAUCCUCAAGCCGCACUUGCGCCUCACGGCCUGAAUUGAAAAGGUUUAUCAAAACUGUAAGUAAUUUGAAAUCGGCAUAUCGGCAAUUCCAAACCUCACUCCCGACUUCAAGGUUUUUAAAACGGUUCAUGUAAAAGUUUGAGAUUUCUAGGACACCAAACAUUUUUCUUUUCUUUUUAAAACAUUUGUGAGCAGCACCUCGGUACAUAAAAAUUUCAACACAAAUUGGGAGGUUUUCCAAAACAGUUUAUAAGCGGAAUUCUCAAAGCUUUACAAACGCUAAAAUUGAUGCAUAUUUGAAGUCUGAAAUCACAUGUAUUAAUAAAAACUAUAAAGCUUCCUCAAUCAUCUAGCCCCAAACAAUUUCGGUCAUCCUAUAUAUCACCAUUCAACACCAAAUUCAAACAAUCCAACCUAACAAUGCACUUCCUCAGUCAACAACGGCACUACAUUAUAUAGGUUAGUAGACUCCAACUUGCCUUAGGUCCAGUGGCAUUGAUGGUGAGCGGACUGCAAGCUACCAGCUACGGUUGAUGUGAAGAGAAGCAACAACGGCGUGCGGUGAGGCGUGAGCCAAGGCCUCUCGAGUCUUGCUGCGGCAGAGGGGCGGCAACAGAUUUUGAGCUGCGACGCUGGUGGCAGGCGGUGGUCUUCGGCAACAAACCGAAGGUGAAGCGAUGAGACUUCCUGAGGUGGUCGGCUUGGCUAUCUGUGGGUGACUCAACAACGAUGAGGGGGUCGGUGACAGAGUGGUGUGGUGGUGCGACUAGUAGCUAGGUAUGGGAUGGUGAGGAGGCCGAUGGCGUGGGAUACAGCGGUGUGGUGUGGGUGGUUGCCUACCGGUGGCCUAAGAAGCACGGACACUCUCCGGAAAUCUUCGUGUCGUGUCCGACACUUUGACACGUUUUCGACACGCGAUCAAUGAAUGUUGAAAAAUCCGACACUUGGUCAACUCUUCCCAACACGCUCCGACACACGAGUCCAAAAUUUCGACACGUAAUUCCGACAUGCACGGGGUCAAUUUUAAAAUUUUCAAUACUUGAGGGGUCAAAAUAUAAAUAUAUAAAAUAAUGAAAUACAAAAUAAAGAGACCAAAGAAAUUCUCACUCUCAAGUUCUUACUUNNNNNNNNNNNNNNNNNNNNNNNNNNNNNNNNNNNNNNNNNNNNNNNNNNNNNNNNNNNNNNNNNNNNNNNNNNNNNNNNNNNNNNNNNNNNNNNNNNNNNNNNNNNNNNNNNNNNNNNNNNNNNNNNNNNNNNNNNNNNNNNNNNNNNNNNNNNNNNNNNNNNNNNNNNNNNNNNNNNNNNNNNNNNNNNNNNNNNNNNNNNNNNNNNNNNNNNNNNNNNNNNNNNNNNNUUGAGAGUUCUUGUCUUAGAUUUUCAUUUUUCUUAAACCUUGUUUUACAGAGGAGCUCCAAGCCAGUCUAUAUCAUGAACUCCGAACUUUGUCUAGAACUAUAAGAAAUCUCACUAAUUUCUAACGAUUGUAAGAAAACAUGACAUGUUCCUUCAAAUUUACUCUUUUGGGUUUGCAAUUUUUAAAUUUCUUAUUCAAUCUCUAUCAAAUUAAAAUAAUGAAUGAUAUUAACAAAUGUUGAAUUAAUAUUUUUAGUAUAAAUUAAUUAUAUGCUCUUUUUAUUAUUUAUUUUUGUAUUUAUAUAUAAAAAUAUAUAUUUAAUAUAUAACGUGUCAAAACAUGUCGAAAAUCUCUAUUAUUUGAGAAAUAUCGUGUUGUGUCGUAUCGUGUCGUGUCGUGUCUUAUGUCACGUGUCUAUAUCGGUGCUACAUAGUUGGUUACGAUGCCUGAGCUAUGGAAGACCUUCGACUGAGAGUUCGCUGCCAUCAUCAAAGGGGUGGAGAACUAGAGAAAAUGAGGGGAAAGAAACUCGGCUUCACCGGAUGCAAGAGGAAAUCAAUCCCUCUUGGCCGUUGACUCCUUGAGUCACGCGUGCGGUGACAGCGAAGAGGCGAGGACAGCUCGAGCAGAGCGUGGCUGUCCUUGAAGAAUUUUAGUCGCCAUCUGUCCCUUCCCAUGCGUAGACGCGUCUUCCCUUUUGUUGACUGCAUGGGUCAACUAAGCGGGCCUUCGCGGCAGUCAACAGGAGAGGAAAUCCGGUGCCGGUCGAAGGACGUCUUGCAUGUCCAUGCAAGAGACGUGUCCGAUUCCUUGCUCCUGCACUCGGUACGCUGGUCGAAGAAGGAGAGGGGCGUGGCAGCAGCUCGCGUGCAGGAUGUGGGCUUCAAGGAGUCAAAGUCUUCAAAUAGAUGUCCAGUUGAAGAAAUCGUGGCUGCAUGGUCAACCUUGCAUGCAUGCUGGACGUGGCUGCUCCUUCGGUCAAAAUCUUCCAUUUUUGUUGACCGGUUGAACUGCGAGAGAGAAGGGGCUGCAUGGUUCUGUACGUGCAUGGGGGAAAGGCAAUUUAUUUAGGGCUAUUAGGUGGUCAAAUAUCCUCCUUUGUUGACCCCCAAAUGGACGUAUGCAUGGCUAUGCAUGGGCGAGUUCCUCGAUCGCGUGAAGGAGGGGUACCUUGAUGGGGCCACAACUUCGGGAGUCGACGUCUCCGUGUGCUUGAAAACUCGCUUUAAUAAGGUGCAAAUGCGGAAGAAAUGGGUCUCACGGGUGGCCUUACGUGAAAAGAUUCCUAGAUGAGAUGUUAUUGCGAGAAUGUGAUGAAAUGUGACGUUUCGAUGCGGUGAGAGUGGUGACGAAACGGCGACCAAAAGUGGCGCCAACAACAUAGUCCGACGACAAAUCCGUUGACCCAUCACAGAUAGUUACAUAUUCGAGGUCUGGCGAAAUCCGGAUGUCACAUUAAGGGUUUAGUACAUGUUUUAGAUAUAAUUCAUUGAAAAAAAAAGUGUAAAUGAAAAGUAAAUGUUUAUAAUCGUGCAUUCCCGCUACCAGAAAAUAAAAGAUAUGAUGAGAAAAGGGAGAGGGAAAAAAAAUACAAAGUCACCACCUGAAAGAGGUGAAAUGCUCAUACCAAAAAAGAAAAAUCAUAUUGUUAAACAAAUUAAUAUGGUUCUAAUCUCCUUGUGAAUUUUUCAUUAUGAUGUUACCAAAUUAUGGAAGACUUGUCAUUUUUUUUUCUUAAUUGUAGACCAAUAGAAGACAAAAAGAAAAGAGGGACAUUUGCUUUAAUUCAAGGUAAAUAGGAAAUACAUUGUUGAUGGAGAGCACGUAAUGUCUGGGUGAACUUCACACGAUUCAGAAUACAAAAUGUUUAAAGAACGCUUCUAGAGAAAUGCCUUCUUGCUGCACAAAAAGAUGUAGAUAAACAGACGAAAGGCUGGAUGGAAAGCACGUGCUCUCCGAACGAUUCCGCUCAUUGAUCGCAUACUUUGGAUAUGCGAUCAAUAUAGGCUUUAAGUGGCAGUUACAAUGGUAAAACUUCGCAGCAAGAUGAUGACGAUGAUCUGCCGAGGGGUGCUAAGGUAAUAGUUGAUAAUCGGAAUCGCUUGAUAAGAGAACAAUGGAUUGAUGCAUAAAGUAUAAUUUUUAGUAGAUUAUGUAAUGUUAAUUAAUGAUUAUUGACUCCUUCACUAUUUGCAAAGUAAACUAAAGCAACUUGGUUAAUGGAUUAGUUGGUGCACCUGACCUUUUUUCUUGUUUAGCCCAAAGCAUGUGCUUUGUUUUCCUUAUUGAACGGACAAAAUUAGUCACCUUUGAUGUCUUUACAUGGUCAUUCACAUUGAAGGAGGAACCGAUAAUCUUCUCAUAUCUUAAACAUAUGCAAAUUUUCAGUAAUGUAACCGCCACAUAAAAGCCUACAUUGAUCGCAUAUUCAACAAUAAAGCAAAAAAACAAGGACAAUGAAAUCAUAGAGAUUCUAAUAAUAUAUGAAUGUGUGAAAAGCUAACACAACACUCAUAAGUAAUGAAGUUUUUGACGAAAAUAUGUGUGAGCUCUAAGUUGGUAAUAUGAAGAAAAAUCACAUUUAUCCUCUGUUUUGGAUGCCCACAAGAAAAGUCUGGAUCCGAAGAAAAGGGAGAACAAUUGACAAAACAGGCACUCUUGGACAAAAAACUAUUUUAGUUUGAUUUGUCUAAACUUUGGUGUGCAUCCCUUGAAAGUCUUGGUCCUUUUUUUAUUCUUUUUGGUAAGUGGACGUCUUGGUCUUCCUAGAAUUCACAGUUUUCUCUUUCUAUUAGCUCAUUUUACUUUACUUCACCAAAACACUUUGUUGUUCUCGACAGUGAUUGAUUCACCCAUGGCCAUUGGGGAGAUCGUUUUGGGUUCCUUCUUUCAGACCUUGUUUGACAAGUUGAGUUCUUUGGCAUCAGACUAUGUGCAACGGGAAGGAAUUGACACCACCAUCCUUGAUGAUUGGAAGAGGAUGCUAGUCACAAUCAAUGCAGUGGUGGAUGAUGCAGAGGAAAAGCAACUUAGCGGUAAUUGUCUAGUGAAGCUGUGGCUCGAUGAUGUUAGGGACUUGGCCUUUGACAUAGAAGACUUGCUCGAUGAGUUCGACAUCAAAGCCACUCAAGUUAAGUCGGAGGUAGAAUCUAGGACAAGUAGAGGUCAAUGGAAAAGGAAGUUCUUUUCUUUUACAUGAUCAGGCUCACUCAUGUCUGACACUAAGGUCCAAGAUAUCAAUGGUAGGGAUUGUCAAAAGGAGGGAUUAUCUAAGUUUGAGAGACAAUGUUGUGGACAGAUCCAACUACAGCAACAAAAGGGAUCCCACUAGUUCUCUGCCGGAGCCUCGGUUUGUCGGUAGGGAGAAGGAAGAAAUGGAGAUACUCCAACUAUUGAUCUGUGAGGUCAAAAAUUCUGAUGCCACACUAAGCAUAGUUCCCAUAGUUGGGAUGGGCGGUGUUGGAAAGACGGCCUUGGCUCAGCAGCUAUAUAAUGAUGCCAAAGUGAAUAGUUGUUUCAAGAAGAAAGCAUAGGUUUGUGUGUCAGAUGUUUUUGAUGUCCUUGACAUAACAAAAACUAUUUUGCAGUCGAUCACUAGGUCGUCCGAUGACGACAAAGAUCUUAACAAGCUUCAAGUUAAGUUGAAGGAUAAUCUAGCUAGGAAGAAGUUUCUUGUGGUUUUAGAUGAUAUAUGGAAUGAGAAGUAUGAAAAAUGGACCGCCCUCUUAAAGCCAUUUGAAGCGGGGGCUAGCGGAAGCAAGAUCAUCAUCACGACUCGCAACCUUAAUGUUCCAUAACAAGAGCUUCACCAUAUCAUUUGAGGGAAUUGUCCUUUGAUAAUUGUAUAAGCUUAUUGGCAUUUCAUGCUCUUGGAGUAACAGAUUUUGAGAGCCACCCGGCUUUUAAAAUAAUAGGCAAGAAAAUAGCUGAAAGAUGUAAAGGUUUACCUUUGGCGGCAAAGAUGUUGGGCAGUGUCCUACGUACUAAAAGUAAUCCUAAUGAGUGGGAAGAUACCUUAAAUAACAAAAUAUGGGAUCUUCUGAUGGCAGAGAAUGAUGAGGUUGUCCCAAUUUUAAAAUUGAGCUAUGUCCAUCUUCCUUCCUAUUUAAAGAGAUGUUUUGCUUAUUGUGCGGUAUUUCCCAAGGAUUACGAAAUUGAGAGGGAUGAGUUGGUACUCUUAUGGAUAGCAGAGGGACUUUUAGAUGGGCAAAAAGAAAAUGAGAAUAUCUUGAAAUUGGGACGGAAGCAUUUUUUGAUGAGUUAGUAUCCAAGUCAUUUCUUCAACAAUCAAGUAUCGAUGCAUCUAAGUUUUCAAUGCAUGAUCUUUUGAAUGAUCUAGCAAAGUCAAUUUUGGGUGGGACUUGCUUUAGCUCAGGGGGGUCUCAGGUAGUAAGUAAUGAACAUGAUGUAUCAUCUCUUGAAAAAACUCGUUAUGCAUCAUUCAUCCCAUCGUGGUAUGUUACAUCAAAAUACUUGAAACCAUAUCAAGGAAUGAAGGCACUAAGAAGUUUAAUUCUGGUGUGUGAUCGAUCUUGUGGGGGCUCUUUCUUUAUUUCCAACAAGGUGCUACAUGACUUGCUAACAAAAUUGAAGUACUUGAGAGUAUUCUCAUUAUGUCGUUGUAACAUUGUAGAGGUACCGAAUUGUGUUGGUGAUUUAAAACAUCUUCGAUACCUCAAUUUCUCGUACACUCAUAUUGAGAGGCUACCUGAGUCAAUUGGCACCUUGUGCAAAUUACAAGCUUUGAUUUUAAGAGGUUGUCAAAAGCUUUCAAAGUUGCCUCAAGGUAUCACAAAGUUAGUCAGCUUACAGUUUCUUGAUAUUAGAGAUACAAAUAGUCUAAAAGAGAUGCCGUUGAGUAUCAGUAAUUUAAAUAAUCUUAUUAUCUUGUCCAAAUUUGUGGUGGGACUUGAGAAAGGGUCGCAAUUGAAAGAGUUAAAAAACUUGCCACAUCUUGAAGGAGAAUUAUUCAUAUCAAAAUUACAAAAGGUGGAAAAAGUUAUUGAUGCAGUUGAUGCUAAUUUGCUUCGAAAGCUAGGCCUUACCAACUUAUCCUUGCAUUGGAGCGAACAUUUGGGAGAUCUCCAUAAUCAUGAGCACGAAGCACAGGUGCUUGACUCUCUGCGACCUCACACUAAUCUUGAAAAUCUCGCUAUUUUGAACUAUCGUGGUGCAGUAUUCCCAUCAUGGUUAGAUUGUACAUCCUAUUAUAAAAUAGUGUCUUUCUAUUUGUGGGAUUGUCCUAAUGUUAUGUCGCUGUCUAUGAUUGGACAACUACCUUCACUUAAGGAAUUAUCUCUUAAAGGUCUACAUGCAAUAAGAAUGAUAGGCUUUGAAUUUUAUGGAGGUACAAGGCCUUUUUCAUCCUUAACCACUUUGAAGUUUGAAGAGAUGUUGGCAUGGAAGGAUUGGUCUCCUUAUGCUGGGCGCCCAAAAGAAGAAGUCUCAUUCUCCUGUCUUAAGCAUCUUGUUGUUCGGGGCUGUCCUUCGUUGGUCAGGAGAUUGCCUUGUCAACUUGAUCGUCUCACAAAGCUUGAAAUUCAUUCAUGUCCGCAUUUGAAAAACUUAACCAAUGAUGUUUGUCUUCCAUCUCUCCAUGAGUUGUUCCUCGAGGAUUGUAACAAAGAGAUCUUGAAGAGCUUGAUCAACCUAACUUCUUUGACCAUUCUUACAAUUAAGAAUCUUGUAGAGUUUGUUUGCUUUGAUCUUGGGUUUAUGAGCCACUUGAUCAACCUAAAGGAGCUUCAUAUAGGAGGGUG
rnacentral:lncRNA from 1 species